GACGAACGCUGGCGGCGUGCCUAAUACAUGCAAGUCGAACGCAGUGGGGCCGGGUGCGUAACACGUGGGUAACCUCCCAUCAGAGGGGAUAAACCUUGGCAACAGGUGCUAAACCGAUACUGAUGGAUGGACCAGGGGUGCAUUAGCUAGUUGGUGAGGUAACGGCUCACCAAGGCCACGAUGCAUAGCCGACCUGAGAGGAUGACCGGCCACACUGGGACUGAGACACGGCCCAGACGCCUACGGGAGGCAGCAGUAGGGAAUCUUCGGCAAUGGACGAAAGUCUGAUGGAGCAAUGCCGCGUGUAUGAAGAAGGUUUUCGGAUCGUAAAGUGCUUUCGUUAGAGAAGCGGUAUCUAACCAGAAAGCCACGGCUAACUACGUGCCAGCAGCCGCGGUAAUAC
rnacentral:rRNA from 1 species